GAUGAACGCUGGCGGCGUGCCUAAUACAUGCAAGUCGAGCGAACAGACGAGGAGCUUGCUCCUCUGACGUUAGCGGCGGACGGGUGAGUAACACGUGGAUAACCUACCUAUAAGACUGGGAUAACUUCGGGAAACCGGAGCUAAUACCGGAUAAUAUAUUGAACCGCAUGGUUCAAUAGUGAAAGACGGUUUUGCUGUCACUUAUAGAUGGAUCCGCGCUGCAUUAGCUAGUUGGUAAGGUAACGGCUUACCAAGGCGAUGAUGCGUAGCCGACCUGAGAGGGUGAUCGGCCACACUGGAACUGAGACACGGUCCAGACUCCUACGGGAGGCAGCAGUAGGGAAUCUUCCGCAAUGGGCGAAAGCCUGACGGAGCAACGCCGCGUGAGUGAUGAAGGUCUUCGGAUCGUAAAACUCUGUUAUUAGGGAAGAACAAAUGUGUAAGUAACUAUGCACGUCUUGACGGUACCUAAUCAGAAAGCCACGGCUAACUACGUG
rnacentral:rRNA from 1 species